rnacentral:rRNA from 1 species
GGGGAAUAUUGCACAAUGGGCGCAAGCCUGAUGCAGCAACGCCGCGUGAGGGAUGACGGCCUUCGGGUUGUAAACCUCUUUUAGUAGGGAAGAAGCCUUUCGGGGUGACGGUACCUGCAGAAAAAGCACCGGCUAACUACGUGCCAGCAGCCGCGGUAAUACGUAGGGUGCAAGCGUUGUCCGGAAUUAUUGGGCGUAAAGAGCUCGUAGGCGGCUUGUCGCGUCUGCCGUGAAAACCUCAGGCUCAACCUGGGGCGUGCGGUGGGUACGGGCAGGCUAGAGUGCGGUAGGGGAGAUUGGAAUUCCUGGUGUAGCGGUGGAAUGCGCAGAUAUCAGGAGGAACACCGAUGGCGAAGGCAGAUCUCUGGGCCGCUACUGACGCUGAGGAGCGAAAGCAUGGGGAGCGAAC